UACGAAGGGAGCUAGCGUUGUUCGGAAUCACUGGGCGUAAAGCGCACGUAGGCGGAUGUGUCAGUCAGGGGUGAAAUCCCGGAGCUCAACUUCGGAACUGCCUUUGAUACAGCACGUCUUGAGUCCGAUAGAGGUGGGUGGAAUUCCUAGUGUAGAGGUGAAAUUCGUAGAUAUUAGGAAGAACACCGGUGGCGAAGGCGGCCCACUGGAUCGGUACUGACGCUGAGGUGCGAAAGCAUAGGGAGCAAACAGG
rnacentral:rRNA from 1 species